UAUAAAUAAUUUUACUUUGAAACUGCGAAUGGCUCAUUAUAUCAGUUAUAGUUUAUUAGAAAUAUUUUACUACUUGGAUAACCGUAGUAAUUCUAGGGCUAAUACAUGAGUAAAACCUCAACUUCGGAAGAGGUGUGUUUAUUAGUAUGAAAACCAUAUAUCUUCGGAUAUAAUAGUGAGUAAUAAUAACCUUUCAUAUCGUAUGUCGUAAGAUAACGAUAGUUCUUUCAAGUUUCUGCCCUAUCAGCUUUCGAUGGUAGUAUAUGGGACUACCAUGGCAGUAACGGGUAACGAAGAAUUUGGGUUCGAUUUCGGAGAGGGAGCCUGAGAGAUGGCUACCACAUCCAAGGAAGGCAGCAGGCGCGUAAAUUACCCAAUCCUGACAUAGGGAGGUAGUGACAAUAAAUCACAAUGCGGAACUUUUAGUUUUGCAAUUGGAUUGAGAACAAUGUACAAAUGUUAUCGAUAAACAAUUGGAGGGCAAGUCUGGUGCCAGCAG
rnacentral:rRNA from 1 species